GACGAACGCUGGCGGCGUGCCUAAUACAUGCAAGUCGAACGCUUCUUUCCUCCCGAGUGCUUGCACUCAAUUGGAAAGAGGAGUGGCGGACGGGUGAGUAACACGUGGGUAACCUACCCAUCAGAGGGGGAUAACACUUGGAAACAGGUGCUAAUACCGCAUAACAGUUUAUGCCGCAUGGCAUAAGAGUGAAAGGCGCUUUCGGGUGUCGCUGAUGGAUGGACCCGCGGUGCAUUAGCUAGUUGGUGAGGUAACGGCUCACCAAGGCCACGAGGCAUGGGCGACCUGGGAGGAUGAUCGGCCACACUGGGAAGGAGACACGGCCCAGACUCCUACGGGGGGCAGCAGUAGGGAAUCUUCGGCAAUGGACGGAAGUCUGACCGAGCAACGCCGCGUGAGUGAAGAAGGUUUUCGGAUCGUAAAACUCUGUUGUUAGAGAAGAACAAGGACGUUAGUAACUGAACGUCCCCUGACGGUAUCUAACCAGAAAACCACGGCUAACUACGUGCCAGCCGCCGCCGUAA
rnacentral:rRNA from 1 species